rnacentral:rRNA from 1 species
GGAAUUUUGGACAAUGGGCGCAAGCCUGAUCCAGCCAUGCCGCGUGUCUGAAGAAGGCCUUCGGGUUGUAAAGGACUUUUGUCAGGGAAGAAAAGGAUAGGGUUAAUACCCCUGUCUGAUGACGGUACCUGAAGAAUAAGCACCGGCUAACUACGUGCCAGCAGCCGCGGUAAUACGUAGGGUGCGAGCGUUAAUCGGAAUUACUGGGCGUAAAGCGGGCGCAGACGGUUACUUAAGCAGGAUGUGAAAUCCCCGGGCUCAACCUGGGAACUGCGUUCUGAACUGGGUGACUAGAGUGUGUCAGAGGGAGGUAGAAUUCCACGUGUAGCAGUGAAAUGCGUAGAGAUGUGGAGGAAUACCGAUGGCGAAGGCAGCCUCCUGGGAUAACACUGACGUUCAUGCCCGAAAGCGUGGGUAGCAAACAGGAUUAGAUACCCUGGUAGUCCACGCCCUAAACGAUGUCGAUUAGCUGUUGGGCAGCUUGACUGCUUAGUAGCGAAGCUAACGCGUGAAAUCGACCGCCUGGGGAGUACGGUCGCAAGAUUA